rnacentral:rRNA from 1 species
AGUGAACGCUGGCGGUAGGCCUAACACAUGCAAGUCGAACGGCAGCACAGUAAGAGCUUGCUCUUACGGGUGGCGAGUGGCGGACGGGUGAGGAAUACAUCGGAAUCUACUUUUUCGUGGGGGAUAACGUAGGGAAACUUACGCUAAUACCGCAUACGACCUACGGGUGAAAGCAGGGGAUCUUCGGACCUUGCGCGAUUGAAUGAGCCGAUGUCGGAUUAGCUAGUUGGCGGGGUAAAGGCCCACCAAGGCAACGAUCCGUAGCUGGUCUGAGAGGAUGGUCAGCCACACUGGAACUGAGACACGGUCCAGACUCCUACGGGAGGCGGCAGUGGGGAAUAUUGGACAAUGGGCGCAAGCCUGAUCCAGCCAUACCGCGUGGGUGAAGAAGGCCUUCGGGUUGUAAAGCCCUUUUGUUGGGAAAGAAAAGCAGCAGGUUAAUACCCCGCUGUUCUGACGGUACCCAAAGAAUAAGCACCGGCUAACUUCGUG